GAGUUUGAUCUUGGCUCAGAACGAACGCUGGCGGCGUGCCUAACACAUGCAAGUCGAGGGAGAAAAGGGGCUUCGGCCCCCCAGUAAACCGGCGCACGGGUGAGUAACACGUAGGUAACGUACCCUGGAGUCUGGGAUAACCAGUCGAAAGAUUGGCUAAUACCAGAUACGACUAUGAGGGCUCCGGUCCUUAUAGUGAAAGAUGGCCUCUAUUUAUAAGCUAUCACUCCUGGAUCGGCCUGCGCACCAUUAGCUAGUUGGUGAGGUAAUGGCUCACCAAGGCUGAGAUGGUUAGCUGGUCUGAGAGGAUGGCCAGCCACACUGGGACUGAGACACGGCCCAGACUCCUACGGGAGGCAGCAGUGGGGAAUAUUGCGCAAUGGGGGAAACCCUGACGCAGCGACGCCGCGUGGGUGAUGAAGGCCUU
rnacentral:rRNA from 1 species